rnacentral:rRNA from 1 species
GACGAACCGUGCAAACGUUGUUCGGAAUCACUGGGCUUAAAGGGCGCGUAGGCGGCGAAUCAAGUCCGGGGUGAAAUCUUUCGGCUCAACCGGAAAAGGGCCUUGGAUACUGGUUCGCUCGAGGGAGGUAGGGGCAUGUGGAACUUCCGGUGGAGCGGUGAAAUGCGUUGAUAUCGGAAGGAACGCCGGUGGCGAAAGCGACGUGCUGGACCUCUACUGACGCUGAGGCGCGAAAGCCAGGGGAGCAAACGGG